UUUGAGGGGAAUGUUGUCUGGCACGAGGCCCUUAACACAGAUCUACGAUCGGUUAUAUAUAUAAAUAUCUUCUUAUUAACUAUAUAUGUAUUUAUAUAUAAUAUAUGAACGAUUAAUUUAGUGGUUGAUGACGUCGGACCAGGCUUCAUUCCCCUCAAU
rfam:Brassica napus, WGS project CCCW01000000 data, contig: 9985